UACGUAGGGUGCAAGCGUUAAUCGGAAUUACUGGGCGUAAAGCGUGCGCAGGUGGUUGUGCAAGCCAGAUGUGAAAUCCCCGAGCUUAACUUGGGAACUGCAUUUGGGACUGCACGGCUAGAGUGCGUCAGAGGGGGGUAGAAUUCCACGUGUAGCAGUGAAAUGCGUAGAGAUGUGGAGGAAUACCGAUGGCGAAGGCAGCCCCCUGGGAUAGCACUGACACUCAUGCACGAAAGCGUGGGGAGCAAACAGG
rnacentral:rRNA from 1 species